rnacentral:rRNA from 1 species
CACGUAGGGUGCGAGCGUUGUCCGGAAUUAUUGGGCGUAAAGAGCUCGUAGGCGGUGUGUCGCGUCGGCCGUGAAAACCCGGGGCUCAACUCCGGGCUUGCGGGCGAUACGGGCAGGCUAGAGUUCGGUAGGGGAGACUGGAAUUCCUGGUGUAGCGGUGAAAUGCGCAGAUAUCAGGAGGAACACCGGUGGCGAAGGCGGGUCUCUGGGCCGAUACUGACGCUGAGGAGCGAAAGCGUGGGGAGCGAACAGG